CGUAUUAUCUGCUUAAUCUUUGAUUGACUUUUUUGAUUCGAAAAUUAUGAAAUUAUUGCGGAGUUAUCGCAUAAUUACUUUCUUCUCGCGUGAUAGCAAGUUGUCACAUUGUCAUUUAUUAAUCUUAUCUAUGUCACGUUGACUGUUCGCUGACUAGUCGUAAAUUAAUAAAAUAGCGAGAAAUCAGAUGCGUAGUUCGUUGUAAGUUAUGUAUGUUAAAUUUGCGUGAUCAAAUGCGAGUCGAUAAUUAGACGUUGUUCCUUGGAUGAUCACCAAGUCGCGUCAACGGAUGUCGCGAGCGAAUACGACAUAAAUCGCGUAUACGGUUUAUCGAUAUAAUGUUUAUCAGCUUUCAUAGCCGAUAACAAAAAACAUUAAGAUUUACGUAACAUCUUAUUGUCUAAGUGCGUGACUUUAUAACUUCCUCGAUGUAUAUUUCCAAACGAAGAGAUAACGAGAAAUAUCGAGCGCUUGCGCGAUCGAUAAUUCGAUACGCAAUUCCUAUGCAAUCUCGUUUUCUAGACGAACAAUUUUUCCCUGUGAGAUAUAAAAAUUUAUUUAUUUACACCGAACGUUUAUAACAGUCCACUGUGAAAAUAAAAUUCGAAAGUGUUUAAAUGAAGUAACUUGAUGAAAUUUUCAAUUUUGAAUUUAGCAAGUGCACGACGAUGUGCAUUCGCGUCCAUUCUAACACAAUUAAUAAAUAAAUAUCCAGUUUUGUAUAUUGUAUAUUUUGUAUUUUGUAUAUUGUAUAUUUGUAUAAUUCCUGAAGAUAUAAAUUAGUGAUUAUCCCUAUCGAAGAUAUAAAAACGAAUGCAGGCUGAUGUGGGAUGUUAUACUGCUAUUCAUCAUUAGAACCGGUUUCAUUCUAUUUGUAAAGAGUAUCUCUCCCAUUAGAGGAAGCAUUGAAUUCUUUCAUACAACAAACCUCUAUAUUCUAAUCUAUCAUUAAAAUGAAACCUUGGAUACUAUCAGAUAAUCAAGUUCUCAAUAUGUUAAUAACUUGGACAGUAGAAGAAUAAAAGCCAUCUUUGAUCGAGAUCGAGAAUUAAUAAAAAUUACAUGUCUUGGCCAUCGUACUUACAUCAAGCGCGACCUUAAUUAAUCAAGUUGCAGACGGCAGGAUGCCAAAAGUUUUCGCUUGGAUUCCGGUCAACGGAGAAUCGCGAUGCCGAAGAUUUGACCUUCGUAUGAUUCGUACGAUAUUGGAGGAGCCCAUUCAUUAAAAGAAAAUUUCGUCCAAAAUUUGCGUGAACUGAGAAAUUAAUUAGUUAAAUACAUUUUCCGUAAGAAGAUUUUUCAAUUUUACAGAAAAUGUUUAAACUAGAAUCAAAAAAUACCAGAGAACUUGUACGAGCGUGUUUAAAAAUGAUUUUUGAGUGAAAUACAAACGAGAAAAUAAGAUUCGCAAUUUUGCUGAUCAGAUAAUAUUUCGUAGUUGCA